UACGGAGGGGGCAAGCGUUAUUCGGAAUUACUGGGCGUAAAGGGUUCGUAGGUGGCCUGCUAAGUCAGACGUGAAAUCCCUCAGCUUAACUGGGGAACUGCAUCUGAGACUGGUGGGCUUGAGUGCAGGAGAGGAACGCGGAAUUCCAGGUGUAGCGGUGAAAUGCGUAGAUAUCUGGAGGAACACCGGUGGCGAAGGCGGCGUUCUGGUCUGCUACUGACACUGAGGAACGAAAGCCAGGGGAGCAAACGGG
rnacentral:rRNA from 1 species